CACUACCACCACGUCUCCUGGGUGCCGCGUUCUUGGUGGUCGCUGCCGUCGCACACGAAUCGCACCGCUGUGGCGCAUCUGUCUCCUCUCUUUCCUUCUCUGCAUCAUGCACACGCGUCCCAAGACAGAGGCUACCAUCUCUACCUUCCUCCGUCACCCCACACGUAAGCGCGCGCACACACUCUCAGCGGCUGCGGUGGCGAGCACCGACGUCGGUGCCGACGAUGGCGGUGUGCCACGCGAGAGAGCAGUUUUGUAUGCGAGGCAAGCGUGUGCGUGGUUACAGCAAUCUCAAUAGCAAUGUGUAUGCACGUUCGCUUCGUGUGUGUGUGUGUGUGUGUGUGUGGCUGUCUCAUGGAACCGGCACAAGACACUGCUGUCGUUCUUGCUUUGUUUCUCUCGCAUUCCCUGGGCGAUCGAGGGGCCAUCCUUGGCUCCUGUUUCCAUCCGCUCUCCCUCUCUGUCUGUGAGUGAGUGUACACGCGGCAUCUAGCUGCAGCUUCCAAAGUCCCUACUUUUGCUCUUCGCUGCCUGAUUGACUCCUCUACGGAUAUGACGACGAAACUGGGUACCUUGCUGGGCGCUGCAGAGCAAUCAAAGAAGCGGAGAACAGCCGCGCCGCGCAUCCAGGCCAGAGAGAGAGGUGUAAGGCAAAGUACACUCAUGUGCCUCGUGCGCCUUCCCUUCCUCCUUCUGCCCCUCUGCCAGGAGCGCCCGCUGCGGCGCCGGCAUCUCGUCCACACGCGCGGGCCCGCCUGUGCUAUGCCGUGAUAAUGUGAGAAAGAGAGAAAUGAUGACCUCGUGGGUGUCCGACGCGCGCCUCCAGUUUGUCCCCUGCGCGCGGCGUCACACCCGCGCGCACGCACGACGGAGAGAGCAACGGACGGUGCCGAGCCGCCCACAGCGCCACUGGCACCACAUACUGGGGCGUCCCCCCUGCGCCGAACCGCUGUCGGAAAGGCGCGGGCAGUCCCACCCUCCACGCACGCGCACUGGCACGCGUCGGCGCACCUGCCGGCACGCAAGCACACACGCACACGUACACGCGCGCGCAUCGACGCGCUCACAGGCGUCCGCGCCGCUAUGCACCAGCACCAGCAGCGUCUGCUCGGGCACGCACAUACGCACGCCACCGCCACCACCGCGGCGGGCGACGCCGAGGGGCCCACAAGCAAACCCGUUGUCCUCCCUCUUCCUUGUCGCCCCGCAG
rnacentral:misc_RNA from 1 species